GGGUGCAGCAAAUGCCAAGGCCUUGAAACAGGAGCUGAGCAGUGUGUGCCUGGAAACUACAGAGCUGAUGUGGUGUGAAUGGGAGAGAACUAGGAGCCAGAUCAGAGAGGUAGCAGGGGCCAGAUCACGCAAGACUUUGUAGAUCAACGUAAGGACUUCGGUAUCUAUUCCAAGCAAGGUUUCAGACAAGCAACUGUUGGAUUAGAGCAUACAGGGACAUAUAUUGUCCUACUGCCCCCUGUGGUUAGUAUGAUUUGUCUGACUAGCUAGUUAUUAAUAGUUGUCCCCUUCUCCUACCACUUCAAGCCCACUUCAACCAGCUCCUUCCAAAUGCUCAAGAGAAGACUUCAGAAGAAAUUCAAAGUUUUCAAAAUGAUGUUGGAUUGAAAGUUCUGAUGAUGUUCUAUAAACCAAGAGUUUGCAAACUGUGGCCAAAUCCUGCUCACCCUCUGAUUGUGUAUAGCCCCAAGCUAAGAAUGGUUUUUACAUUUUAAAGUAGCUGGAAAAUAUCAAAAGAAGAGUAAUAAUAUUUUGUGACACAUGAAAAUUCAUGAAAUUCAAACUUCAGUGUCCGUAAAUAAAGCUUACUGAAACAGAGC
rnacentral:lncRNA from 1 species